GUUUAUGGUAUUAUUACUGCCUAGAUAUAUAUUGUAAUCUGUUUACACUUAUUCUACAUUUUUGUUUUUACAUAAUUUUGUUUAUAUUUAUUUUACUAAAUAAUUACUAAUAGAUAAAGAAGUAUGUGCAGGAUUUAAUUUCACGUCUAAAGAGGACUCUGAAGAAGAAUUAAAGUUCUGGUGGAUCAAAGAUUGAGGAAUGAUUUGGUUUUAACUGUUUUGCAUCUUAUGAACAAAGUACAUAAUAUGAUUUAAAUUGAUGAUUUAUAGUUACACCUAUUGAAAUUCUGUAUCUCAAUGAUAUCCUGGCUUAUUGAUACGAUAUCCUGUAAAUCCACUCA